UCCCUGGUAGUAUAUCGGUUAGUACACGCGCCUGUCAUGCUGAAGACGCGCGAAAGCUGGGUUCGACUCCCAGCCAGGGAG